rnacentral:rRNA from 1 species
GAACGCUAGCUACUGGUUACACAUGCAAGUCGAGGGGAAACGGCAUUAAGUGCUUGCACUUUUUGGACGUCGACCGGCGCACGGGUGAGUAACGCGUAUCCAACCUUCCCAUGACUAAGGGAUAACCUGCCGAAAGGCAGACUAAUACCUUAUGGUCUUCACUGACGGCAUCAGAUGUGAAGUAAAGAUUUAUCGGUUAUGGAUGGGGAUGCGUCUGAUUAGCUUGUUGGCGGGGUAACGGCCCACCAAGGCAACGAUCAGUAGGGGUUCUGAGAGGAAGGUCCCCCACAUUGGAACUGAGACACGGUCCAAACUCCUACGGGAGGCAGCAGUGAGGAAUAUUGGUCAAUGGGCGAGAGCCUGAACCAGCCAAGUAGCGUGCAGGAUGACGGCCCUGUGGGUUGUAAACUGCUUUUGUAUGGGGAUAAAGUCAAUCACGUGUGAUUGUUUGCAGGUACCAUACGAAUAAGGACCGGCUAAUUCCGUGCCAGCAGCCGCGGUAAUACGGAAGGUCCGGGCGUUAUCCGGAUUUAUUGGGUUUAAAGGGAGCGUAGGCUGGAGAUUAAGUGUGUUGUGAAAUGUAGACGCUCAACGUCUGACUUGCAGCGCAUACUGGUUUCCUUGAGUACGCACAACGUUGGCGGAAUUCGUCGUGUAGCGGUGAAAUGCUUAGAUAUGACGAAGAACUCCGAUUGCGAAGGCAGCUGACGGGAGCGCAACUGACGCUGAAGCUCGAAGGUGCGGGUAUCGAACAGGAUUAGAUACCCUGGUAGUCCGCACAGUAAACGAUGGAUGCCCGCUGUUGGUACCUGGUAUCAGCGGCUAAGCGAAAGCAUUAAGCAUCCCACCUGGGG